rnacentral:lncRNA from 1 species
UAGUGGGCCGUGAUUGAGAGUAAUGAUUGAUUUGCUAGAAUGACAUGUAAUCGGCCGAGUCGAUUGAUCGCUGAGACGAUCCAAGUGGUUGAAUUGCUUUGAUAAUGUGAUUGAGCCAUGGUUGUUUGGUUAUCAUAAUUGCACGUGGUUGGUUUAUAUAAAUUGUGCUAACCUGCAGAUAAGGGCUGAGGCGAGGUAAGUCUUCUGUGUGAUGUGGCUAGGCCACCCGGGGCGUAUUUUCUUUCUAAUAGGGGUUUAGGGGGUUGAACUUGCUGAGACAUCGUCUCAUCCCGGUUGUGGGAUUAAAAUUUCAGGUCCCUGGUGGACGGAGCGGCCAGAUAGCUUUGGUUGGCCUUGAGGAGUUGCAGAGGUGAAGUCAUAAGGGUUGGAGAGCGUGUCCUGCUAGUUGGUUGUAGGAUAAUCCCCCUUUUGUCGAGCUGGUCUAUUUUGUAGAAAGUCCAGUGUUGUAUUUAAACCCCCUUUGCGUUUGUAAAUGAGUGUUUGGUAUUGUGAUUGAUUGCCUGCUUUUCUAUCCCAAG